CAGGUUUGUCAAAUCAUCCAUUAAAAACUUCCAAGAACCCGGAAAUAUUCACCUCAGUUAUUCAAAAUGAGAUGCUUGAUAGUUUUAGCUCUGGUCUUCUGUUAUGUUUAUGGCAACAUACACACAACAAUUGGGCCAAAGAGCUACCAUGGAAACUGCGACAACGAUACGGAUUGCCCUCAUUUCC